GGAGAAGGAGCGAGCGAGGCCGAAGGAGCCCCCUGCCCUCCUCUCCCUCGUGGACUGGGCCCGGGGCGGGGGCUCAGGGCUGAGGGGGGCCCUGCGGCUGCCCUCCUUCAAGGUGAAGCGGAAAGAGCCGUCAGAGCUGAACGAGGCGGGGGAGGAGAAACGGCCCCGGCCCCCCACCCCCCCCGAGGAGGAUGAGGACGACAAAGAACUCCCCCCUGGAGCCCCCCGGGCCGAGGCCCCCGGGAAGCGCCGGAAGCUUUUCCGGCUGGACAGCGAAGGGGAGGAGGCGUCCGAGGAGUCAUCCUCGGGCAAGGAGGAGGAGGAGGAAGAGGCCGAAGAGGCGCCGAGGAGAAGGAGGAGGAGAGGGAAGGGGGAGCCCCCCGCCCGCAGGGAGGGGGAGAGACGGGGACCCCCAGAGCGGGCAGAG